AUUUCCGUAGGUGAACCUGCGGAAGGAUCAUUAGUGAAUAUAGGAUGUCCAACUUAACUUGGAGUCCGAACUCUCACUUUCUAACCCUGUGCAUUUGUUUGGGAUAGUAGCCUCUCGGGGUGAACUCCUAUUCACUUAUAAACACAAAGUCUAUGAAUGUAUUUAAUUUAUAACAAAAUAAAACUUUCAACAACGGAUCUCUUGGCUCUCGCAUCGAUGAAGAACGCAGCGAAAUGCGAUAAGUAAUGUGAAUUGCAGAAUUCAGUGAAUCAUCGAAUCUUUGAACGCACCUUGCGCUCCAUGGUAUUCCGUGGAGCAUGCCUGUUUGAGUGUCAUGAAUACUUCAACCCUCCUCUUUUCUAGUGAAAGAGAAGGUGCUUGGUUUCUGAGCGUUUUGCUGGCCUCACGGUCGAGCUCGCUCGUAAUGCAUUAGCAUCCGCAAUCGAACUUCGGAUUGACUUGGCGUAAUAGACUAUUCGCUGAGGAAUUCUAAUCUUCGGAUUAGAGCCGGGUUAGGUUAAAGGAAGCUUCUAAUCCUUAUGUCUAUAUUCUAAGAUUAGAUCUCAAAUCAGGUAGGACUACCCGCUGAACUUAAGCAUAUCAAUAAGCGGAGGAAU
rnacentral:rRNA from 1 species